UGCAACCCACCGCACCACUGUUCGUGCAGCGGACGGUAACGUACCUGCUCCUGGAACGCUGUAUUGGAACUAGGCAUCUACGUGCAUGGGUCGCGAAUAACAGGCACCCAACUGCAACCAUUGACUCUGCUCCAGCUGUCUGUAAGAAGGAACGCAGGCUAACGCCGACACACAUACAUAAAUACAUAUAUAUAUAUAUAUACUCAGAUGGAGUCCUCGACAGAUCGCGCAACCACGAGGCCGUUGGGGGCCGAAACAGCGGCACAUGCAACACGCGAGACAAAUGACGUUGACAGCGAAGACGGCAUGCUCGGCUCCCCUUUGCAACUUGACAGCUCCACCAUGGGCACUGCGGAGCUCAACUCAGCCUUGGAGUCCCUCUCGUCGGCGACAGUUCCGAACACGGCUAGCUGCAUCCAGAACAACCUCUCUCUGGCACAAAACUUUCUCGCAGACAAGGGUGACACUACCACCAGGUCAUGGAGUGCAGAUUUUGACGAUGCAGCGGCUCCACUCUGGCAGAGAUAUACAACCCAAGGCGAGCGGCAGCACUUCUCCGUCUCUAGCGUAACCGGCAAGCAUGGCAGCAGCGUUCGAGGCGCCGAAAAUGUCAAGGUGUGCGUCAAGGCGCCGGCCGGAGGUCAGGAAACGUUGCUUCCCGGAGGUGUUCCACCGACGACCGCCAGCUUUGCCACGAAGUGCGAUACAUCGCACGUGGCGGCUCCGACGCGCGAGUUCUCUGCCACGUGGAGCCCUCAAGGUCUGCUUGGCGGAACACCUGAAACAUUGGACGCGCGGCCCGCCGUGGACGACGCCAGUUCCAUGGUCGCCGUGGUGCUGGGCGAGGAGGUACCCGAUGACUUGCCGCGCGCCCCAUCAGCGUACAUGGAGCCGCGCAGUUGCCCCUCCACGCCUUUGGUGAACACAAUUCAUCUCAACCUGCAGUAUACAAGAGUGACGUCGUUUAUGUCUAUCUCGUCCCCCUUUUCUGCCUCCGUGCAGAGUAUAUCGUUCCUGCGCACGUCUGUCCAGCACUUGAUGAGCAACUCGCAGCACUUCUACGCGUCCUCGUCGUCCUGCGCCGCGGCCAACGAGGUACCACUGUUCGGCGAGGUCGGUGCAGCGGAGCCCCGACCCCUCUGCGCGUCGCUCCCGGAGACUGGAUCGGUGGCGGCGCAGAGCGCCUUGGAGCCGGCCAAACUGAGAGAAGUGACCUUUGCGCACUCCUCAGUGGAGGCGAGGGACUCGUCAGAGGGAAUCCCCCUCAUCGACCCGUCAGCCAUGUCGGCGGCAGACAACGCCAGCACGGCGCAAGAGGCCUCACCGCACAACCCAGGUGCACCUACUCUCCCGUGCACUCCAGUGGCGCGCCGCGCCGUGAACACUUCGGCCGAGAGGUGUCUCGUAGAGGAAGAGCAAGAGCGUACGGAGCUCGUGGAAGACCAAGCUUCCGGCUUUGAGACGAUUCUGGCACAUGAAGUUUCGGCCUACCUCGCUAUGAGUCGCCAGCAGCGCAUGAUAGCUCGGCAGCGCAGUGAAUGCGCCGGCGUCACCGAGCAGCGAAAGUCUGUGGAGGAGGAGGCGAGCCAGCUCCACGACUCGAUGCGGGCGCGCAUGAGGAUGGCAGAGGAUGAACACGAGAACUUUAUGAGCAACUACCGACCGAUACAGCAAGUACAGCUGCACAGCGCCGGUUAGAGGAGCGCCACGGUGGCCACCGGUGCUGUCGCUGGGGAGUCAAGCUGCAAUGAACGGUGCCACGCGGAGCAUUCCUUGCGCUGCCCAGCAUCUUUUCCCCUUGAUUCCAUCGAUGGCUUACAGUCCGCCAAUGCCCCGCCACGGCCGUGUUUCCUGAACGCCUGCCCUGUAGCUCCCUCGGGAGCGCCAAAAGGGACCGGCCGCCUGGUGGCAUCGGAGAUGCGGCCUCACCUCCAGCUAAACCGACAUCCGUUUCGAGCAGCAGAUGCGCUGACCAACCGACAUCCAUACAGCCCUGCGUAACGUUCACAGCUGGGUCCGUAUACACAUCUUUUUUCUUCUCUUCGCUUUUCCCUUUCCGCCAAAGGCGAGGCAGCAGUGCGACUUGGAACUCUUCGAGGCACCUUAACGAGUCUCCGCUGGAACUACAGCUGCCUUUCUGCUUUUUUUUUGUAUUUUUCCUGUUGCCGUUUUUCUGAGCUCUGAUAGCCAGUUGAGGAGGGGGAGAGGCGCCGCGUCGCGGCACCAGGACCCAGCCACCCACGCACAGUGUGUGUGGGGACGCCAAGCACCUACGGCGUCAGGUGGGAGUGGGGGCCAUCAGAGCGAUUUGCCGCUGCCGGCGUCGGCGGGGAGACACGCCUGUGCCACCCGUAUGACGCGGCAGAGCGUCCGUGCAGCUCGAACGCACCUCACACCCGGCUCUCGGUCUCCACUGGUGGUGGUGGUGGUGGGAGGGGGUAGGGGGCCUCUGCGCCACUCCGGGGGAGCGGAGUUGGUGAGAAGAGUUUGGGGCACAGGCCGUGCUCGGGUGACUGAGUCGGCGCCUUGCGGCAACGCGUGCCUGCCGCUGCUUCGCACCGGGCUGAUGGGAGCCUCUGACCGACCGGGGUAGACUGGCGUUGAGUGGAUGCUGUAUGGCGAAAUGUGUGCACUGAAAGAGAGAAAGCAAAUGCACUCGGCUUCAGUGUUAUGCGGUUUUGCGUUCCGCAGUUAUGACGACUCCCGUGGACGCACCUGUGUUGUUCGUUACUCUGGUUUGCCUCAUCGCUCACGCCUCUGCUCACUUAUAUUAGCGGCUGUGUUACGGAGCGCCCCAAAACGGGCCGAUUCAUCGAUGUCCUGACCUUUUUUCCUCCCUUGUGUUGUUGUACAGCUGCCCGAGAAGCUAUCGCG
rnacentral:misc_RNA from 1 species